AACCAUCAGAGGGCGUGCCUUCAGUGCGGGGUAUGUCCAAACUUGGUACAGAGGUGUAGCGAGAGGCAUACCUGUUGAGCAGGUGAACUUCAAGCUCAGUCCGUGUCAAGUUGUGCUUGCGUCAACCACAUAGCAAGCAUAGCAAGAUAAACAGAUAUCGAGGAAGGAAGGUGAAAGAGAGAAGACGAGAAAAAGAAUGUCUGGGACAGAUCAGAACAGCGCUCCUGACCCACAGCUGCUGUUUGUGGGGCGACCCUCCCGUCUGCUAGAGGUGUAUGUGAAACGCAGCCUGAGCCUCAAUGACAGCCCACUCAAUGACGGGAGACCCGCCAGGGAGCACCGCAAGUGGAUCAGCCUGGCGGAGAGGAACAAGAGGGAUCGCAGGCACUCCAGUGACACGUCUCUGCACCUGCCAGUGGACAUGGCAUACAGUUACAACCCUGUAAGCGAAAAAAACAGCGAUCCAAAGAAGAGCACGCUGAGGAAGAAGUGGAUGAGCUUCAGGGACAAGAGCAAGAGGCCCAGCAAACUCUCCAAACCUUCUUUGGUGGUCAAGCCAGCUCCUUCUGAUGACAGACCAACAGAGUACCAUGACACCAUGCCCUCAGACCUAGAGUCCUCCACGGAGAAGCCGAAGAAGAAAAAACGUGAGAGCAAGAAGGGCAAGCCAGCUCCUUCUGAUGACAGACCAACAGAGUACCAUGACACCAUGCCCUCAGACCUAGAGUCCUCCACGGAGAAGCCGAAGAAGAAAAAACGUGAGAGCAAGAAGGGCAAGCCAGCUCCUUCUGAUGACAGACCAGCAGAGGACCACGACACCAUGGCCUCAGGCCUAGAGUCCUCCACGGAGAAGCAGAAGAAGAAAAAACAGAGGAGAAAGAAGGGCAAGAAGUCCUCCAUCUGGAGGAGCAUAGUUGGCUUCUUCUCACGGGGUGACAGCGACACGGACGAACGUGACCUCAGCCCUGUGAGAACGGUGUGCCCCCCCCAGCCCCCAGAGGCCACGUGCCUCUCCAUCUCCAAACCCUUCUCCGAGGGAGAGGAAGUCACGCGCCGCAGGAAGUCCUCCAGGAGACGGCGUUCCCUAAUAAGGAGACUCUCUCAGAAGAAGGACAGGCGCCUGUCCAUAGUGGAAGCCAUCGAGAGAGUGGAGCCCACAGACUCAUACUACGAGAACGUGUCUGAUGAGCUGAAGAGGAUUGUGACUGAGGUGAUGGAUAGUCCUUCUGAUGAGCAGGUGGUGGUUCCUCCAGACGUACCACCCACUGACACACUGGACAGUCAAAGCUUGUCAACAGAUGAGUUGACAGAGAGGCUUAUAGCUCUAAUCAAACAGGAAGGGGAUUUCAUGGAUGCAAAGAUGAAGGAGAGUCCCAGCCUCAGUAACUUCUUCCAGGGGCUCACAUACGGCUCCUUCCAGCAGCUGGCUGACCAGUAUGUGCUGUCCGAGAUACCCGCAGAGCCCGCCCAGGACCCGGUGGUGGCGCCGGAGCUAGUCAGGCUGGCCUUCACCCUGGACUUCACUGCCCGGCUGGCCGGCCUGUCCCGCCAGAGCCCGAGCCACAUCAUGGGCCACGGGAAAUGCUACCUGCAGGAGCGCUUCACCUACGAGGCCCAGCCCGAGGUCGAGCCCACGAGUCCGCUGAUGAUGAGAACGGCCUGGAAGGGGUCGAUGGAAAUUGGGAUAAACUAUGGGAAUUCCCUCCUGGUAGAGAGCGGAGAACCUGAGGAACAUGGUCUGGGGAAGGCUGAAGAACCUAAACCUUCACUAAGAACAAGGAUGCCUGAUGAAGCUCAGCAAAUCCAGCACUUUAACAGCUAUGAGUUAUGA
rnacentral:lncRNA from 1 species